UGCUAAUACCGAAUAAAACUUAGUGUCGCAUGACACAAAGUUAAAAGGCGCUUCGGCGUCACCUAGAGAUGGAUCCGCGGUGCAUUAGUUAGUUGGUGGGGUAAAGGCCUACCAAGACAAUGAUGCAUAGCCGAGUUGAGAGACUGAUCGGCCACAUUGGGACUGAGACACGGCCCAAACUCCUACGGGAGGCUGCAGUAGGGAAUCUUCCACAAUGGGCGAAAGCCUGAUGGAGCAACGCCGCGUGUGUGAUGAAGGCUUUCGGGUCGUAAAGCACUGUUGUAUGGGAAGAACAGCUAGAAUAGGAAAUGAUUUUAGUUUGA
rnacentral:rRNA from 1 species